UACGGAGGGAGCUAGCGUUGUUCGGAAUUACUGGGCGUAAAGCGCGCGUAGGCGGCUUGUCGCGUCGACUGUGAAAACCCGCGGCUCAACUGCGGGCCUGCAGCCGAUACGGGCAGGCUAGAGUUCGGUAGGGGAGACUGGAAUUCCUGGUGUAGCGGUGAAAUGCGCAGAUAUCAGGAGGAACACCGGUGGCGAAGGCGCCACUCUGGGCCGAAACUGACGCUGAGGAGCGAAAGCGUGGGUAGCAAACAGG
rnacentral:rRNA from 1 species